rnacentral:rRNA from 1 species
UACGUAGGGGGCAAGCGUUGUCCGGAAUCAUUGGGCGUAAAGAGCUCGUAGGCGGUUUGGUAAGUUGGAUGUGAAAUCUCCAGGCUCAACUUGGAGGGGUCAUUCGAUACUGCCAUGACUAGAGUUCGGUAGGGGAGUGUGGAAUUCCUGGUGGAGCGGUGAAAUGCGCAGAUAUCAGGAAGAACACCCGUGGCGAAGGCGGUUCUCUGGGACGGUACUGACGCUGAGACGCGAAAGCGUGGGGAGCGAACAGG